CACACACUCGUCGGUAUGAAUUAUUGUCCAGAAAGUAGGACUCAACACGCAGGGCAUUCUGCAAUGCAGAUUCGCAGAGAAUAAUGCCAGUUGCAUAAUAAAUUCUGGAUAGAAACAUAGUGUAGCAAUUUGGUAGAUUAAAAUGACCUGAUUGAACCACGUGAAGCCAAAACAUAUGUAUAGGAUCACUGAACUUGAAUUAGAC